AUUGAACGCUGGCGGCAGGCCUAACACAUGCAAGUCGAGCGGAUGAGUAGAGCUUGCUCUUCGAUUCAGCGGCGGACGGGUGAGUAAUGCCUAGGAAUCUGCCUGGUAGUGGGGGACAACGUUUCGAAAGGAGCGCUAAUACCGCAUACGUCCUACGGGAGAAAGCAGGGGACCUUCGGGCCUUGCGCUAUCAGAUGAGCCUAGGUCGGAUUAGCUAGUUGGUGAGGUAAUGGCUCACCAAGGCGACGAUCCGUAACUGGUCUGAGAGGAUGAUCAGUCACACUGGAACUGAGACACGGUCCAGACUCCUACGGGAGGCAGCAGUGGGGAAUAUUGGACAAUGGGCGAAAGCCUGAUCCAGCCAUGCCGCGUGUGUGAAGAAGGUCUUCGGAUUGUAAAGCACUUUAAGUUGGGAGGAAGGGCAGUAAGUUAAUACCUUGCUGUUUUGACGUUACCGACAGAAUAAGCACUGGCUAACUCUGUGCCAGCCGCCGCGGUAAUAC
rnacentral:rRNA from 1 species